AUUAACAAAGAAUACAUUUGAUAAUUCAUGUCCUCCUAGAUUGCCGGGGAAGGAAGCAACUCAAAUAUUAUAUUGAUUGCACUAUACAUCCUCAGAUCAGAUAUCUCAUGACUACUCAAUUAAAGCAAGCAUGAGAAGUGCUAUUAUUAGUAUUCACAAGGAAGUAAUAAUGUAUUUGGGUCUUAUUCAAUUGCUAUGAUGAUCAAUACGAACAGACGGUUCUCACAAGCUAUAGUACUGAGUGAUUAAUAAUUAUUACUUAGCUGUUGGAUUAUCAUCUGAACCCUUGGAAAUGCUAUCAGAAGAUGAUCCUUUCCCUGUUGGG